AACGAACGCUGGCGGCAUGCCUAACACAUGCAAGUCGAACGAGACCUUCGGGUCUAGUGGCGCACGGGUGCGUAACGCGUGGGAACCUGCCCUUAGGUUCGGAAUAACUCCCCGAAAGGGGUGCUAAUACCGGAUAAUGUCUUCGGACCAAAGAUUUAUCGCCUUUGGAUGGGCCCGCGUUGGAUUAGCUAGUUGGUAGGGUAAAAGCCUACCAAGGCGACGAUCCAUAGCUGGUCUGAGAGGAUGAUCAGCCACACUGGGACUGAGACACGGCCCAGACUCCUACGGGAGGCAGCAGUGGGGAAUAUUGGCCAAUGGGCGAAAGCCUGAUCCAGCAAUACCGCGUGAGUGAUGAAGGCCUUAGGGUUGUAAAGCUCUUUUACCCGGGAUGAUAAUGACAGUACCGGGAGAAUAAGCUCCGGCUAACUCCGUG
rnacentral:rRNA from 1 species